GCCUACGGGGCGCAGCAGUGAGGAAUAUUGGUCAAUGGGCGGGAGCCUGAACCAGCCAAGUCGCGUGAGGGAUGACGGCCCUAUGGGUUGUAAACCUCUUUUGCCGGGGAGCAAAGUGCCGCACGUGUGCGGUUUGGAGAGUACCCGGAGAAAAAGCAUCGGCUAACUCCGUGCCAGCAGCCGCGGUAAUACGGAGGAUGCGAGCGUUAUCCGGAUUUAUUGGGUUUAAAGGGUGCGUAGGUGGACUGUCAAGUCAGCGGUAAAAUACGGGGGCUCAACCUCCGCCCGCCGUUGAAACUGACGGU
rnacentral:rRNA from 1 species